rnacentral:rRNA from 1 species
GGGCCCGCACAAGCAGCGGAGCAUGUGGUUUAAUUCGAAGCAACGCGAAGAACCUUACCUAGACUUGACAUCUCCUGAAUUAAUCGUAAUUGAUGAAAUCCCUUCGGGGACAGGAAGACAGGUGGUGCAUGGUUGUCGUCAGCUCGUGUCGUGAGAUGUUAGGUUAAGUCCUGCAACGAGCGCAACCCUUAUCAUUAGUUGCUAACAUUAAGUUGAGCACUCUAAUGAGACUGCCCGGGUUAACCGGGAGGAAGGUGGGGAUGACGUCAAAUCAUCAUGCCCCUUAUGUCUAGGGCUACACACGUGCUACAAUGGUGGGAACAAAGAGAUGCAAUACCGCAAGGUGGAGCCAAACUUCAAAACCCAUCCCAGUUCGGAUUGUAGGCUGAAACUCGCCUACAUGAAGCUGGAGUUGCUAGUAAUCGCGAAUCAGAAUGUCGCGGUGAAUACGUUCCCGGGCCUUGUACACACCGCCCGUCACACCAUGAGAGUCGGCAACACCCGAAGCCCGUGAGGUAACCUUUUGGAACCAGCGGUCGAAGGUGGGGUUGAUGAUUGGGGUGAAGUCGUAACAAGGUAGCCGUAGGAGAACCUGCGGCU